AUUGAACGCUGGCGGCAUGCCUAACACAUGCAAGUCGAACGGCAGCACGGCAGUAGCAAUACUGUGGGUGGCGAGUGGCGGACGGGUGAGGAAUACGUCGGAAUCUGCCCAGUCGUGGGGGAUAACUAGCCGAAAGGUUAGCUAAUACCGCAUACGACCGAGAGGUGAAAGCGGGGGACCGCAAGGCCUCGCGCGAUUGGAUGAGCCGACGUCGGAUUAGCUAGUUGGUGGGGUAAAGGCCCACCAAGGCGACGAUCCGUAGCUGGUCUGAGAGGAUGAUCAGCCACACUGGAACUGAGACACGGUCCAGACUCCUACGGGAGGCAGCAGUGGGGAAUAUUGGACAAUGGGCGCAAGCCUGAUCCAGCAAUGCCGCGUGUGUGAAGAGGGCCUCGG
rnacentral:rRNA from 1 species